rnacentral:rRNA from 1 species
AUUGAACGCUGGCGGAAUGCUUUACCCAUGCAAGUCGAACGGUAGAGGGGGCAACCCCUCGAGAGUGGCGAACGGGUGAGUAAUAUAUCGGAACGUGCCCAGUCGUGGGGGAUAACGUAGCGAAAGUUACGCUAAUACCGCAUACGAUCUAAGGAUGAAAGCGGGGGAUCGCAAGACCUCGCGCGAUUGGAGCGGCCGAUAUCAGAUUAGGUAGUUGGUGGGGUAAAGGCUCACCAAGCCGACGAUCUGUAGCUGGUCUGAGAGGACGACCAGCCACACUGGAACUGAGACACGGUCCAGACUCCUACGGGAGGCAGCAGUGGGGAAUUUUGGACAAUGGACGCAAGUCUGAUCCAGCCAUUCCGCGUGCAGGAUGAAGGCCCUCGGGUUGUAAACUGCUUUUGUACGGAACGAAAAGGUCUCUCUAAUACAGGGGGUUUAUGACGGUACCGUAAGAAUAAGCACCGGCUAACUACGUGCCAGCCGCCGCAGUAA